rnacentral:rRNA from 1 species
GGUUAAGUGAAUAAGGGCGCACGGUGGAUGCCUUGGCACUAGGAGCCGAUGAAGGACGGGACUAACACCGAUAUGCUUUGGGGAGCUGUAAGUAAGCUAUGAUCCAGAGAUUUCCGAAUGGGGGAACCCAAUAUCUUUUAUAGGAUAUUACUUUUCAGUGAAUACAUA